rnacentral:rRNA from 1 species
CCUACGGGAGGCAGCAGUAGGGAAUCUUCCACAAUGGGCGCAAGCCUGAUGGAGCGACGCCGCGUGGGCGAAGAAGUAUUUCGGUAUGUAAAGCCCUAUCAGCAGGGAAGAAGAAAUGACGGUACCUGAGUAAGGAGCACCGGCUAAAUACGUGCCAGCAGCCGCGGUAAUACGUAUGGUGCAAGCGUUAUCCGGAUUUACUGGGUGUAAAGGGAGCGCAGGCGGCACGGCAAGCCUGAUGUGAAAGCCCGCGGCCCAACCGCGGGACUGCAUUGGGAACUACCGGGCUGGAGUGCCGGAGAGGG